UUUCCGUAGGUGAACCUGCGGAAGGAUCAUUAAAGAAUUUGCCCCGUCCUCUCGAGGAUGGGUCCUCUUCUAAACCGUGUAUACAUACCUUUGUUGCUUUGGCGGGCCGCCGUCUCGGGGUUGGCUUCGGCUGACUGUGCCCGCCAGAGAACCCCAACUCUUCUGUUUAGUAUUGUCUGAGUACUAUAUAAUAGUUAAAACUUUCAACAACGGAUCUCUUGGUUCUG
rnacentral:misc_RNA from 1 species